AUUGAACGCUGGCGGCAUGCUUUACACAUGCAAGUCGAACGGUAACAGGGAGCUUGCUCCGCUGACGAGUGGCGAACGGGUGAGUAAUGCGUCGGAACGUGCCGAGUAGUGGGGGAUAACGCAGCGAAAGUUGUGCUAAUACCGCAUACGUACUGAGGUAGAAAGUGGGGGACCUUCGGGCCUCACGCUAUUCGAGCGGCCGACGUCUGAUUAGCUAGUAGGUGAGGUAAAGGCUCACCUAGGCGACGAUCAGUAGCGGGUCGGAGAGGAUGAUCCGCCACACUGGGACUGAGACACGGCCCAGACUCCUACGGGAGGCAGCAGGGGGGAAUUUUGGACAAUGGGCGAAAGCCUGAUCCAGCCAUGCCGCGUGUCUGAAGAAGGCCUCCGGGUUGUAAAGGACUUUUGUCGGGGAGGAAAUCCCCAGCGCUAAUACCGCUGGGGGAUGACAGUACCUGAAGAAUAAGCACCGGCUAACUACGUGCCAGCCGCCGCGGUAAGAC
rnacentral:rRNA from 1 species